UGGGGAAUAUUGGGCAAUGGGCGCAAGCCUGACCCAGCAACGCCGCGUGAGGGAAGAAGGUUUUCGGAUUGUAAACCUCUGUCCUUGGGGACGAAAAAAAUGACGGUACCCGAGGAGGAAGCUCCGGCUAACUACGUGCCAGCAGCCGCGGUAAUACGUAGGGAGCAAGCGUUGUCCGGAAUUACUGGGCGUAAAGGGUGCGUAGGCUGUUUGGAAAGUCAGAUGUGAAAUCCCCGGGCUUAACUCGGGUGGUGCAUUUGAAACUUCCAGACUUGAGUGCAGGAGAGGAAAGCGGAAUUCCUAGUGUAGCGGUGAAAUGCGUAGAUAUUAGGAGGAACACCAGUGGCGAAGGCGGCUUUCUGGACUGUAACUGACGCUGAGGCACGAAAGCGUGGGGAGCAAACA
rnacentral:rRNA from 1 species